rnacentral:rRNA from 1 species
GACGAACGCUGGUGGCGUGCUUAACACAUGCAAGUCGAACGGAAAGGCCCUGCUUUUGUGGGGUGCUCGAGUGGCGAACGGGUGAGUAACACGUGAGUAACCUGCCCUUGACUUUGGGAUAACUUCAGGAAACUGGGGCUAAUACCGGAUAGGAGCUCCUGCUGCAUGGUGGGGGUUGGAAAGUUUCGGCGGUUGGGGAUGGACUCGCGGCUUAUCAGCUUGUUGGUGGGGUAGUGGCUUACCAAGGCUUUGACGGGUAGCCGGCCUGAGAGGGUGACCGGCCACAUUGGGACUGAGAUACGGCCCAGACUCCUACGGGAGGCAGCAGUGGGGAAUAUUGCACAAUGGGCGGAAGCCUGAUGCAGCAACGCCGCGUGCGGGAUGACGGCCUUCGGGUUGUAGACCGCUUUCGCCUGUGACGAAGCGUGAGUGACGGUAAUGGGUAAAGAAGCACCGGCUAACUACGUG